UUGAUGCACUAACAUGACAAGAAAACCAAAUUGAGGAGAAAAUGAAGCACUUAGUAAUUAGUUGUGCCAUGUCAAUGGAAAAACAAAAACACUACAUUGCCAUGCUCCUCACACAAGCUAUUUUUGCAGGCAUGGCUUUGUUUUCUAAAGCUGCAAUAUCUCAAGGGAUGAACCCUUAUGUUUUCGUUACUUAUCGCCAAGCAUUUGCUAUCAUUGCGUUAGCCCCCCUCGCUGCCUUCUUUGAAAGAAAAUCUGAUGUUCCUUUAUCCUACAACAUCAUGCUGAAGAUCUUCCUGAUGUCAUUACUUAGCACUCUAAGUUUGGAUCUAUACUAUUUUUCCAUACAUUACACCACAGCAACAUUUGCUGCAGCCUCCACUAACUUAAUUCCAGCCAUCACUUUUUUUAUGGCAGUAAUUUUAAGAGUGGAGGCUCUUGCAAUAAAGAAAUCACAUGGAAUGGCAAAACUGUUGGGUUCUUCAAUUGGUGUUACAGGAGCUUUGGUAUUUGCCUUAGUUAAAGGUCCACAAUUGAAUUUCAUGAAAGGGAACACAAGGGGAACUCAUAGCUCAAAUUUGAAUUAUAGUUUGAAGGAAGAGUGGUUAAAAGGUUCACUAGUCAUGGUUUUAGCUAACUUCACAUGGUCUCUAUGGCUCAUUUUACAGGUUCGUAUUGUGAAACAAUAUCCAGCAAAACUUCGUCUUGCCACUCUAUAUUGCUUGUUUAGCUGGAUACAAUCUUCAAUUUGUGCCAUGGUGAUGGAAAGGAAUAUAUCAGCAUGGAAGCUAAAAUGGGACAUUAAUCUUUUUUCAGUAGCUUAUUGUGGUUAUAUUGUUACAGGCUUGACAUAUUGGAUACAACUUUGGACUGUAGAGAAAAAAGGGCCAGUAUUUGUAUCUAUGUUCACUCCACUAUCACUCAUCAUAACUGCCAUUGUCUCAGCUUUUUUAUGGAAGGAAACACUUUACGUGGGAAGGUAACACCGCCAUUUCAAAUCAUCAAAUUAGUUCAUAUACGUAAGAGUGCUUCAUAGUGUAUGUGGAGGAAUAUUGCUAGUUGGUGGGCUUUACUUGGUCCUAUGGGGAAAGAAUAGAGAAGCAGAGAGGGAAAUAAAUCAAUAGUGAAAGAUGGAAUUAAAGUAAUUUAACAGGACAAUAUUGUAUACUCCAUGUCACAUUUAAAUGACAAAGUUAGAAUUUCAAAAAUUAAAUAAGAAAUUCUCUAUUGUUAUUUGUAUAUUCUUCGAAUAUUUUAAAUUGUUAAUUCAUAUGGCUUAUAGUACUUUUAUUUAUCAGAAACUUUAAAGAUUGUAUAUCCAAAUGAAUAGUUGAAAUAAAGAAAUUUGACUCUAAA